UAUUGGCCAUUGCAACAAAGGGUAAACGCAC
rnacentral:piRNA from 1 species